CUGAAACCUGCGCGCUCGGGAGCCUUCCUUAUAUAUAUUGGCUCCUCUCUUCGCCGCCUGUCACUCAGAACCCAUGGUCACUCUCCCCUCCCCUCCGGGCCUCCAGCGCCACAGCCCCAGCACCGCCUGGAGGGGGCCUCCGCCCCCGCCAUCCCCCGUCUCCGUCAGCCAGUCAAACACAGGUCCCCGCCCCUCAGUGGCGCUCUCAGCCCCUAGGUCCCCUAAGUCUGCGCGUGCCAAAGUGACCAGUUCUCCGCGACCAAGGGGUUACGGGUCGAGACCCCGGCGAUGGGAGGAGGGAGAGGGCCUGGGGGAAUGCGGCGGGAGGUGAGAGAGUGGUUCCCGGAUGGUCUUGGAGGCGGAGACACUGGGGAGUCCCGGUAGGCGGUCUGUCAGCAGCCGGAGCUAGUUACCUUCAGCCUUUGAGCAGGUAAAAGAAACUUAAGCUCGCAAAGCGAAAAUAGCACGGAAGGACUGGGAUCUUCUUCUUCCCGGAACUUCGGAAGCUGUAGUCUCCUCGGCCCGCAACCUGUGAGCGCCCACCCACCUCGCGUCCCCAGCGCAGCAGGGAAGCCAGCGGACGCUUUAACCUCUCAGUGACCACACUGGCCAAGGCGAGGGACUUGAGUCUAAGACUGUGGGGCUCUCAGGGGCUCCCACCCUCCACCUGACCAGAAGAACCCAGCAUGUGUCCUGGGGGCCACCAGGAGCAGGAGGCCGUGAGGCCAUCGGAGGCUGCAAAUCACAUGGAGUUGGACCCACCUGGGUGUCUGCUGCCCCUGCCCCUAUGCUGAUGCUUGGCAUGGGUGCAAGCCUCAACUGACGUAGGCUACCCUGGACUGACUGUGGACCUUCUAAAAGUCCACCGGCCCUCAUCUGGACUCGCGCUGACAACGUCAGGAGCCGGAGCAGGGUUCAGUCCUGGCAUCGUGCAAGGCCCACAGCCUCCCCUGCAGGGCACUUCUGCUUCUGUUACCCUCUCCUUUGGCUGCUGCACACAGCCCCCCAGCAGGCACCACCCGCACCUGGGACUUUGAAGCGCCAAGGUUGCCUUCCAGCCAUGCCCCUAAGCUGACCCCGGGUUUUCGGGGUACAACAGGGGCUGUAUAGAGCCUCUGGACCCCUCCCCCACUAGGUAGCCUUGCUCGCCCCCCAGCCCCCGAGCCAAGAGCGCAGCUCCGAGGCUUCCAGCGUCUUUUCGCCCUCCCCCUACUCCCGUUCUCCGCCGGGCAAACUGCGCCCAGGUAGGAGCACGGCUGAGGCCUGGCCACAGAGCCCGCUGGGCAGGCCAGGGGCGGGGGAGCGGGCCUGGUUUGGGCGGGGCACUUAAGCCUUGAGGGGCGCCGCUGCGGUCGCAGCAGAGAAGGGGCCACGUGCAGGGAGCCGCGGCCGGGGAGCUGCACAGAAGGCGGGGAGAUUUGCAAACUGUUGCUGCCACAUGGCUGCUCCUUUCGAUCCAUUCACAUUGAAAUGAGGCCGGCGCGUGCCUCAUCUGCCGCAGGGCGCUGCCACGCGUCAGCCCGGCCCGCCGCGUGCCAACUGGGGCAGUGGGGCUGGCAGGGCCUGCCAGCCGUGGGGGCACAGCCCGAGCCCUGAGGCCAGGAGGGGGGAGGGGAAGGGAACCGAGUUAUCCUAGCCGCUCAGGCGCCGCAGUUUUUCGCGGACCUUGGCCCUGCAAUUGGGAUCAAGCCGACGAGAAAGGCCCGGGACGGACGGGUUUCGGAGGGGGGCCAGGAUCGAUGCCGCCGCUCCCCGCAGAUGCGCCCCGGCAGCGCUACUCUCCAUCUGCCGCUGCUCGCACCUGCCGGUCAAUAAAUCGAUUUUACAAUUUAAUGCAGCAGCUUCCCGCCCGCCUGGGACAGAUGCCGCCGCAGAACCACCUCCGCCCUCACCCCUCCCCUCGAGGGGCGCCAGCGGUUAGGGCAGGGAUUCCCGCUCGGCAGGCGGUGCCCCGCGGGGCCUCCUUCACCUUUCUCAAGUCCCUACAAGGAACUGCGCAGGGUCUUUCCCGCGGAACAGAGUGGGUUUCCCAUAGGACAGGCCUGAGGCUGAUGGAGGAGAAAAGAUGAUGACAUAGCGGUGGCCUUGAGGACUCAUUUGGGGGCUUCAUGGGGGAACAGGAUGCAGUGGCUGAUGACAAGAUGUGAGAGCCCCUGUAAGGAGAAAGGGGUAGGACCUGGGGCGUGGACGUCAAGAGACACUGAGUCCUGAAGCCUCUCCAUGAUAGCGAUGCGGGGAGGGCUGAGCUGGAAUGGGGGCCUCUCCCCAGCGCCCGCUCUGGCUGAGUCUGGUGAAUAAGCAUAACAUGGACCUGGUUUUUGGCACUUCUCAACCAUGUAAUCUUGGGGCUUGUAAUUUAUUUUAAUUUAAUUUAAUUUAAUUUAAUUUUUUAAUGUUUAUUUUAUUUUUGAGAGGGAGGGAGGGGGAGAGAGAGAGAGGGAGAGAGAGAGAGCGCCGGGGAGGGACAGAGAGAAAGGCAGACACAGAAUCCAAAGCAGGCUCCAGGCUCUGAGCUGCCAGCACAGAGCCGGACAUCGGGCUCGAACCCACGAACUGCUAGAUCAUGACCUGAGCUGAAGUUGGCUGCUUUACCAACUCAGACACCCAGGCACCCCUUAUUUUUUAAUGUUUAUUUAUUUAUUUUUGAGAGAGAGAGACAAAGAGAGAGAAAAUGAGUGUGAACAGGGAAAGGUCAGAGACAGAGAGAAAAUCCUAAGCAGGCUCCACAGUCAGCACAGAGCCUGAUGUGGGGCUCGAACUCAACAAACAUGAGAUCAUGACCUGAGCUGAAAUCGAGAGUCCAAUGCUUAACUGAUUAAGC